CCUACGGGUGGCAGCAGUGAGGAAUAUUGGUCAAUGGACGAGAGUCUGAACCAGCCACGUAGCGUGAAGGAUGAAUGCCCUAUGGGUUGUAAACUUCUUUUAUAAGGGAAUACAACGAGGCACGUGUGCCUUUUUGCAUGUACUUUAUGAAUAAGGAUAGGCUAACUCCGUGCCAGCAGCCGCGGUAAUACGGAGGAUCCGAGCGUUAUCCGGAUUUGUUGGGUUUAAAGGGAGCGUAGAUGGGUUGUUAAGUCAGUUGUGAAAGUUUGCGGCUCAACCGGAAAAUUGCAAUUGAUACUGGCAGUCUUGAGUACAGUUGAGGUAGGCGGAAUUCGUGGUGUAGCGGUGAAAUGCUUAGAUAUCACGAAGAACCCCGAUUGCGAAGGCAGCUUACUAAACUGUGACUGACAUUGAUGCUCGAAAGUGUGGGUAGCAAACAGGAUUAGAUACCCUGGUAGUC
rnacentral:rRNA from 1 species